rnacentral:rRNA from 1 species
UCAAACGAUGAAAGGCUUACGGUGGAUACCUAGGCACCCAGAGAUGAGGAAGGGCAUAGUAAUCGAUGAAAUACUUCUGGGAGUUGAAAAUAAUCAUAGAUCCGGAGAUUCCCGAAUAGGGAAACCUUUUGAACUGCUGCUAAAUCUAAGGGCAGGCGAGAGACAACCUAGUGAACUAAAACAACUUAGUAUCCAGAGAAAAAGAAAGCAAAAGUGAUUCCCAUAGUAGCGGUGAGAAAAAUGGGCAUAGCCUAAACCGUGAAAACAGGGUUGUGGGAGAGCAAUACAAGCAUCGUGCUUCUAGGCAAAGUAACCUGAAUGAUGUAACCUAGAUGGCGAAAGUCCUAUAGCUGAAAGCAUCACUAGCUUACACUCUGACCCGAGUAGCAUGGGGCACGUGGAAUCCCAUGUGAAUCAGCAAGGACCACCUUGCAAAGCUAAAUACUCUUGGGUGACCGAUAGCGAAGCAGUACUGUAAGGGAAGGCUGAAAAGAACCCCCAUCGGGGAGUGAAAUAGAACAUGAAACCAUAACCUCCCAAUAAGUGGGAAGAGCCAGCGCUCUGACCGCAUGCCUGUUGAAGAAUGAGCCAGCUACUCAUAGGCAGUGGCUUAGUUAAGGGAACCCACCAGAGCCGUAGCGAAAGUGAUUCUUCAUAGGGCAAUUGUCAUUAAUUAUGGACCCGAACCUAGGUGAUCUAUCCAAGACCAGGAUGAAGCUUGGGUGAAACUAAGUGGAGGUCUGAACCGACUGAUGUUGAAGAAUCAACGGAUAAGUUGUGGUUAGGGGUGAAAUGUCACUCAAACCCAGAUCUAGCUGGUUCUCCCUGAAAUGCGUUGAGACUGAAUAGUUAACUGGACAUCAAGGGGUAAAGCACUAUUUUGGUGCGGUCCGUGAAAGCGGUACCAAAUCUAGGAAAACCCUAAAUACUAGGUAUGGCCUUAAAACUAAAAAAGAGGGGUCAAAGUCAGCUAGUGAGAUGAUGGGGGAUUAGCUUCAUCGUUGAGAGGGAAAUAGCCGAAUCACCAGCUAAGGCCCCUAAAUGGCCACUCAGUGAUAAAAGAGGUAGGGGUGCGGAGACAUCCAAGAGGUUUGCCUAGAAACAGCCACCCUUGAAAGAGUACGCAAUAGCUCACUGAUCGAGCGCUCUUGCGUCGAAGAUUAAUGAGGCUAAGCGAUCUGCCAAAGCUGUGAGGUGUUAAAAUACAUCGGUAGGGGAGUGUUCCACCUUAGAAGAAAGCCUCCGCACGAGGGGUGGUGGACGAAGUGGAAGCGAGAAUGUCAGCUUGAGUAAUGUAAACAUUGGUGAGAAUCCAAUGCCCCAAAAACCUAAGGGUUUCUCCCCAAGGUUUGUCCACGGAGGGUGAGUCAGGGCCUAAGAUCAGACCGAAAGGCAUAGUUUAUAGACAACAUGUGAAUAUUCCUGUACUACCCCUUUUUUAUCCUGAGGGAUGGAGGAGGCUAGGUUAGCCGAAAGAUGGUUAUCGGUUCAAGAACGUAAGGUGUCCCUGCCCUUUCUUAGGGUAAGAAGGGGUAGAGAGAAUGCCUCGAGCCAAUGUUCGAAUACCAGGCACUACGGCGCUGAAGUAAUCCAUGCGAUACUCCUAGGAAAAGAUUGAACGACUUUGAGAAAGAGGGUACCUGUGCCCGAAAUCGACAUAGGUGGGUAGGUAGAGAAUACCUAAGGGUGCGAGACAACUCUAUCUAAGGAACUCAGCAAAAUAGGCCCAUAACUUUGGGAGAAGGGGUGCCUCUUCAAAUCACAAAGGGGGCCGUAGUGACUAGGACCGGGCAACUGUUUACCAAAGUCUCCGCAAAGUCGUAAGACCCUGUAUGGGGGCUGACGCCUGCCCAGUGCCGGAAGGUCAAGGAAGUUGGUGACCUGAUUAUAGGGAAUCCGGCAACCAAAGCGCCCGUGAAUGGCGUCCAUAACUAUAAUGGUCCUAAGGUAGCAAAAUUCCUUAUCGGGUAAGUUCCAACCCGCAUUAAAGGCGUAACGAUCUGGGUACUAUCUCGGAGAGAGGCUUGGUGAAAUAGACAUGUCUAUGAAGAUGUGGACUACCUGCACCUAGACAUAAAGAACCUAUGAAGCUUCAUAGUUCCCUGGGAUUGGCUUUGGGCCUUUCCUGCGUAUCAUAGGUGGAAGGCGAAGAAUGCUUCCUUUCGGGGGGGGCCAAUCCAUCAGUGAGAUACCACUCUGGAAGGGCUAGAAUUCUAACCUUGUGUCAGGACCUACGAACCAAGGGACAGUGUCAGGUAGAUAGUUUUUAUGGGGCUUAGUACUUACAAAAUGUAACGGAGGUGUGCAAAGGUUUCCUCGGGCCAGACGGAGAUUGGCUCUCGUGUGCAAAGGCAAAAGGGAGCUUGACUACUAGACCGACCUGUCGAGCAGGGCAAAAAGUUGGCCUUAGUAAUCUAACGGUGCCGAGUGGAAGGGACAUCGCUCCAUGGAUAAAAGUUACUCUAGGGAUAACAGGUUGAUCUUCCCUAAGAGCUUAUAUCGACGGAAAGGUUUUGCACCUCGAUGUCGGCUCUUCGCCACCUGGGGCUGUAGUAUGUUCUAAGGGUUGGGUUGUUCUCCUAUUAAAGCGGUACAUCAGCUUGGUUCAGAAUGUCGUGAGAUAGUUCGGUCCAUAUCCGGUGUGGACGUUAGAGAAUUGAGAGGACCUUUCCCUAGUACGAGAGGACCGGGAAGGAUGCACCUCUGGUGUACCAGUUAUCGUGGCCAUGGUAAACACUGGGUAGAAAAGUGUGGAGCGGAUAACUUCUGAAAGUAUCUAAGUAGUAAGCCCACCCCAAGAUGAUUGAUCUCCUAUUUCGACCUCCCCAGAGCUUCCAGUAGAACAGCCGAGACAGCGACGGGUUCUCUGCCCCUACGGGGAUGGAACGACAGAAGUUUUUUUGAGAAUUCAAGAAAAGGUCACGGUGAGAUGAGUCAUUUAUAAUUAAAAUAGAUAUCAAGUGGAAGUGCAGUGAUGUAUGCAGCUGAGGCAUCCUAACAGACCGGUAGACUUGAACUU